rnacentral:ncRNA from 2 species
UGCUAUUCUCGCCCCGACGACCCGAUGUUGUCGAAGGGAAGCUGGGUGAAAAGCCCACACGGUCCCGCCACUGUGAUGCGGAGAGCCGGUUUCGUCCGAGCGACGGGCCACACGGUCCGUCAAGACGCCACUGCAGCCCCCCAGGGCUGUGGGAAGGCGAGAAACCGCUCGUAGUCCCGCCGAGUCAGGAAACCUUCCAUCGGGCAAGUCCUCUG